rnacentral:rRNA from 1 species
GGCGAACGCUGGCGGCGUGCUUAACACAUGCAAGUCGAACGAUGAAGAAGAGAAACGCGAACUUCGGUUCAAAUUUCACUUCGGAUUAGUGGCAGACGGGUGAGUAACGCGUGAGCAACCUACCUCUUACAAAGGGAUAGCCUCGGGAAACCGUGAUUAAUACCAUAUGACACAUUCAUAAGGCAUCUUAAGAAUGUUAAAGCUACGGCGGUAAGAGAUGGGCUCGCGUCCCAUUAGCUAGUUGGUGAGGUAACGGCCCACCAAGGCGACGAUGGGUAACCGGCCUGAGAGGGUGAACGGUCACAUUGGAACUGAGACACGGUCCAAACUCCUACGGGAGGCAGCAGUGGGGAAUAUUGCACAAUGGAGGGAACUCUGAUGCAGCGACGCCGCGUGAGCGAUGAAGGAAUUCGUUUCGUAAAGCUCUGUUCUAUGGGAAGAAAAGGACUGUACCAUAGGAGAAAGCCCCGGCUAAAUACGUG